UACGGAGGGCGCAAGCGUUAACCGGAAUUAUUGGUCGUAAAGCGCACGCAGGCGGUCUGUCAAGUCGGAUGUGAAACCCCCGGGCUCAACCUGGGAACUGCAUUCGAAACUGGCAGGCUAGAGUCUUGUAGAGGGGGGUAGAAUUCCAGGUGUAGCGGUGAAAUGCGUAGGGAUCUGGAGGAAUACCGGUGGCGAAGGCGGCCCCCUGGACAAAGACUGACGCUCAGGUGCGGAAGCGUGGGGAGCAAGCAGG
rnacentral:misc_RNA from 1 species